UUGUCCAGGCAAAUCCGGAUAAUCAAGGCUGAGGUGUGAUGACGAGGCACUACGGUGCUGAAGUAACAAAUGCCCUGCUUCCAGGAAAAGCCUCUAAGCAUCAGGUAACAUUAAAUCGUACCCCAAACCGACACAGGUGGUCAGGUAGAGAAUACCAAGGCGCUUGAGAGAACUCGGGUGAAGGAACUAGGCAAAAUGGUGCCGUAACUUCGGGAGAAGGCACGCUGGUGUGUAGGUGAAGUCCCUGCGGAUGGAGCUGAGACCAGUCGAAGAUACCAGCUGGCUGCAACUGUUUAUUAAAAACACAGCACUGUGCAAACACGAAAGUGGACGUAUACGGUGUGACGCCUGCCCGGUGCCGGAAGGUUAAUUGAUGGGGUUAUCCGUAAGGAGAAGCUCUUGAUCGAAGCCCCGGUAAACGGCGGCCGUAACUAUAACGGUCCUAAGGUAGCGAAAUUCCUUGUCGGGUAAGUUCCGACCUGCACGAAUGGCGUAAUGAUGGCCAGGCUGUCUCCACCCGAGACUCAGUGAAAUUGAACUCGCUGUGAAGAUGCAGUGUACCCGCGGCAAGACGGAAAGACCCCGUGAACCUUUACUAUAGCUUGACACUGAACAUUGAGCCUUGAUGUGUAGGAUAGGUGGGAGGCUUUGAAGCGUGGACGCCAGUCUGCGUGGAGCCAACCUUGAAAUACCACCCUUUAAUGUUUGAUGUUCUAACGUUGGCCCCUGACCGGGGUUGCGGACAGUGUCUGGUGGGUAGUUUGACUGGGGCGGUCUCCUCCCAAAGCGUAACGGAGGAGCACGAAGGUUAGCUAAUCCUGGUCGGACAUCAGGAGGUUAGUGCAAUGGCAUAAGCUAGCUUGACUGCGAGCGUGACGGCGCGAGCAGGUGCGAAAGCAGGUCAUAGUGAUCCGGUGGUUCUGAAUGGAAGGGCCAUCGCUCAACGGAUAAAAGGUACUCCGGGGAUAACAGGCUGAUACCGCCCAAGAGUUCAUAUCGACGGCGGUGUUUGGCACCUCGAUGUCGGCUCAUCACAUCCUGGGGCUGAAGUAGGUCCCAAGGGUAUGGCUGUUCGCCAUUUAAAGUGGUACGCGAGCUGGGUUUAGAACGUCGUGAGACAGUUCGGUCCCUAUCUGCCGUGGGCGCUGGAGAAUUGAGGGGGGCUGCUCCUAGUACGAGAGGACCGGAGUGGACGCAUCACUGGUGUUCGGGUUGUCAUGCCAAUGGCACUGCCCGGUAGCUAAAUGCGGAAGAGAUAAGUGCUGAAAGCAUCUAAGCACGAAACUUGCCCCGAGAUGAGUUCUCCCUGAGACUUUAAGUCUCCUGAAGGAACGUU
rnacentral:rRNA from 1 species